rnacentral:rRNA from 1 species
AACGAACGCUGGCGGCAUGCCUAACACAUGCAAGUCGAACGAAGUCUUCGGACUUAGUGGCGCACGGGUGCGUAACGCGUGGGAAUCUGCCCUUGGGUACGGAAUAACUCAGAGAAAUUUGUGCUAAUACCGUAUAAUGACUUCGGUCCAAAGAUUUAUCGCCCAAGGAUGAGCCCGCGUGAGAUUAGCUAGUUGGUGAGGUAAAAGCUCACCAAGGCGACGAUCUCUAGCUGGUCUGAGAGGAUGAUCAGCCACACUGGGACUGAGACACGGCCCAAACUCCUACGGGAGGCAGCAGUGGGGAAUAUUGGACAAUGGGCGAAAGCCUGAUCCAGCAAUGCCGCGUGGGAUGAAGAAGGUCGUUCGGAUUGUAAAGUCCUUUCGACGGGGACGAUGAUGACGGUACCCGUAG